rnacentral:miRNA from 1 species
UAACGGAUGAACAUUGACCAAAGC